GCGGGGAAAAUGGCGGCGGCGGCGGCGGCUGCUGCAGCUACGAACGGGACCGGAGGAAGCAGCGGGAUGGAGGUGGAUGCAGCAGUAGUCCCCAGCGUGAUGGCCUGUGGAGUGACUGGGAGUGUUUCCGUCGCUCUCCAUCCCCUUGUCAUUCUCAACAUCUCAGACCACUGGAUCCGCAUGCGCUCCCAGGAGGGGCGGCCUGUGCAGGUGAUUGGGGCUCUGAUUGGCAAGCAGGAGGGCCGAAAUAUCGAGGUGAUGAACUCCUUUGAGCUGCUGUCCCACACCGUGGAAGAGAAGAUUAUCAUUGACAAGGAAUAUUAUUACACCAAGGAGGAGCAGUGUGAGAGUGGAAUAGAUGUGGGGAAGAGGAGUGGGAGUUAAAAAAAAAUGUACAGGGUGGGGAAGAUGGAGAGGGUUGGAAAGAAACAGGAGAGGAGACCAAGAACAGGGGAGAAAAAGUGAAGAGUAGCUGGAGAGAUCUCAGAAAAAGAACACGUUCACAGUUCUUUCUCAAAAGAAAGUAAAGGAUGAGAGAAGACAGGAUAGAAGGGAGUAGUUAUUCUAAACUGAGCCGGGAUUUGAGGAGGGAGGAGAGAAGCUGGUGAAAAUACACCAGGAGCUUCACAUUGAGGAAGGAUGGUUUAAAGAAUUACUAUGUCAGGCCGGGCGCAGUGACUCACGCCUCUAAUCCCAGCACUUUGAGAGGCCGAGGUGGGUGGAUCAUGAGGUCAGGAGUUCAAGACCAGCCUGGCAAACAUAGUGAAACCCCAUCUCUACUAAAAAUACAAAAAUUAGUCUGGCAUGGUGGUGCGUGCCUGUAGUCCCAGCUAC
rnacentral:sRNA from 1 species